rnacentral:rRNA from 1 species
AUUGAACGCUGGCGGCAGGCCUAACACAUGCAAGUCGGGCGAGCGGCGGACGGGUGAGUAAUGUAUGGGGAUCUGCCUGUUGGAGGGGGAUAACUACUGGAAACGGUAGCUAAUACCGCAUACCAUCAGAUGUGCACAGAUGGGAUUAGCUAGUAGGGGGGGUAAUGGCUAACCUAGGCCACGAUCCCUAGCUGGUCCGAGAGGAUGACCAGCCACACUGGAACGGAGACACGGUCCAGACUCCUACGGGAGGCAGCGGUGGGGAAUAUUGCAAAAGGGGCGCAAGCCUGAUGCAGCCAGGCCGCGUGUGUGAAGAAGGCCUUCGGGUUGUAAAGCACUUUCAGCGAGGAGGCGUUACUCGCAGAAGAAGCACCGGCUAACUCCGUGCCAGCAGCCGCGGUAAUUC